rnacentral:rRNA from 1 species
UACAGAGGGUGCAAGCGUUGUUCGGAAUUAUUGGGCGUAAAGGGCUCGUAGGCGGUGCGACAAGUCACCUGUGAAAUCUCCGGGCUUAACUCGGAGCCUGCAGGCGAAACUGUGGUGCUGGAGUGUGGGAGAGGUGCGUGGAAUUCCCGGUGUAGCGGUGAAAUGCGUAGAGAUCGGGAGGAACACCUGUGGCGAAAGCGGCGCACUGGACCAUAACUGACGCUGAGGCGCGAAAGCUAGGGGAGCAAACAGG